rnacentral:rRNA from 1 species
GGGGAAUAUUGGACAAUGGGCGAAAGCCUGAUCCAGCAAUGCCGCGUGAGUGAUGAAGGCCUUAGGGUUGUAAAGCUCUUUUACCCGGGAUGAUAAUGACAGUACCGGGAGAAUAAGCCCCGGCUAACUCCGUGCCAGCAGCCGCGGUAAUACGGAGGGGGCUAGCGUUGUUCGGAAUUACUGGGCGUAAAGCGUACGUAGGCGGCUUUGUAAGUUAGAGGUGAAAGCCCAGAGCUCAACUCUGGAAUUGCCUUUAAGACUGCAUCGCUUGAAUCGUGGAGAGGUUAGUGGAAUUCCGAGUGUAGAGGUGAAAUUCGUAGAUAUUCGGAAGAACACCAGUGGCGAAGGCGACAUACUGGUCCGUUACUGACGCUGAGGCUCGAAAGCGUGGGGAGCAAA